rnacentral:rRNA from 1 species
AGCUCCAAUAGGAUAUAUCAAAGUUGUUGCAGUUGAAAAGCUCGUAGUCGUAUUUCUGGGGGGUUGAUGCUGUUCUUGAGAUUAGAGAAAUCUGAUAUCUUGCAAUGGCCGCCCUCCAUUUUGUGGGCAAAAGUUGUGUCGGUGUACGCAAGUAUGCUAACUCAGCUCCACUCCGUCACUGAGAGCAAAUUGGAGUGCUCAAAGCAGGCUUUACAGCUUUGAACAUCUUAGCUUGGAAUGACAAAGCACGACUAUUCGUUCACUUUGUUGGUUAUGAAUGAAAAGUAAUGAUAAAUAGGAACAGUUGCGGGGGUACUCGUACUGGAAAGUCAGAGGUGAAAUUCUUGGAUUUUUCCACGACGAACGACUGCGAAAGCAUUUACCAAGGAUGUUUUCA